rnacentral:rRNA from 1 species
AGUGAACGCUGGCGGUAGGCCUAACACAUGCAAGUCGAACGGCAGCACAGUAAGAGCUUGCUCUUACGGGUGGCGAGUGGCGGACGGGUGAGGCAUACAUCGGCUUCUACUUUUUCGUGGGGGAUAACGUAGGGAAACUUACGCUAAUACCGCAUACGACCUACGGGUGAAAGCAGGGGAUCUUCGGACCUUGCGCGAUUGAAUGAGCCGAUGUCGGAUUAGCUAGUUGGCGGGGUAAAGGCCCACCAAGGCGACGAUCCGUAGCUGGUCUGAGAGGAUGAUCAGCCACACUGGAACUGAGACACGGUCCAGACUCCUACGGGAGGCAGCAGUGGGGAAUAUUGGACAAUGGGCGCAAGCCUGAUCCAGCCAUACCGCGUGAGUGAAGAAGGCCUUCGGGUUGUAAAGCCCUUUUGUUGGGAAAGAAAAGCAGCAGGUUAAUACCCCGCUGUUCUGACGGUACCCAAAGAAUAAGCACCGGCUAACUUCGUG